rnacentral:rRNA from 1 species
UAGGGAAUUUUCGGCAAUGGACGAAAGUCUGAUCGAGCAACGCCGCGUGAGUGAAGAAGGUUUUCGGAUCGUAAAACUCUUUUGGUAGAGAAGAAAAAGGACGUUAGUAACUGAACGUCCCCUGACGGUAUCUAACGAGAAAGCAACGGCUAACUACGUGCCAGCAGCCGCGGUAAUACGUAGGGGGCGAGCGUUGUCCGGAUUUAGUGGGCGUAAAGCGAGCGCAGGCGGUUUCUUAAGUCUGGUGUGAAAGCCCCCGGCUCAACCGGGGAAGGUCAUUGGAAACUGGGAGACUUGAGUGCAGCAGAGGAGAGUGGAAUUCCAUGUGUAGCGGUGAAAUGCGUAGAUAUAUGGAGGAACACCAGUGGCGAAGGCGGCUCUCUGGUCUGUAACUGACGCUGAGGCUCGAAAGCGUGGGGAGCAAACAGG